rnacentral:rRNA from 1 species
GACGAACGCUGGCGGCGUGCUUAACACAUGCAAGUCGAACGCUGAAGCCCAGCUUGCUGGGUGGAUGAGUGGCGAACGGGUGAGUAACACGUGGGUAAUCUGCCCCGUACUCCGGGAUAAGCCCGGGAAACUGGGUCUAAUACCGGAUAGGACACGCUAUCGCAUGGUGGUGUGUGGAAAGCUCCGGCGGUACGGGAUGAGCCCGCGGCCUAUCCGCUUGUUGGUGGGGUGAUGGCCUACCAAGGCGACGACGGGUAGCCGGCCUGAGAGGGUGACCGGCCACACUGGGACUGAGACACGGCCCAGACUCCUACGGGAGGCAGCAGUGGGGAAUAUUGCACAAUGGGCGCAAGCCUGAUGCAGCGACGCCGCGUGGGGGAUGACGGCCUUCGGGUUGUAAACCCCUUUCGCCCGGGACGAAGCGUAAGUGACGGUACCGGGAGAAGAAGCACCGGCCAACUACGUGCCAGCCGCCGCGGUAACAC